rnacentral:lncRNA from 1 species
AUGUACCAAAUAUCUCAACUGAUGUCAACACCAGUAGCAAAUUCUUCCCCGUCGGAGAAAGAAUGUGCUGUAGAGCCGUCUCCCCCAUGUAUUCUCCCAAGCUCUGUCUGUGAUUUCCUCAAUGGUGACAGUCCCUUUGAGGGUCGCUCCGGAGAUCCCCUGAUGGGCUCCCCGUUCACCUGUCGACGAAGUCCCAGACUUCUCACCAACGGCUACUACAUCUGGACAGAAGACAGUUUUUUCUGCGACGAAGACGGCAACAUAACCCUGAGCCCCUCCCAGACCAGGGUUCUCUACAAGGAGAACUUAGUCAGAAUAUUUAGAAAGAAAAGGAGAAUCCGCCGUUCUUUUUCUUCUCUCUUCGACCUCAGCACCUCUGAAUCCUGGCUGCAUGGGAGCAUCUUCGAUGAUGUUGACUCCUCCCCCAGUGAGGAUGUCUGGUUGGAGGGGGUCAGGAGGCUGGAAACAAACCACUGCAAAGAAAAUGAAACCAGUUUGUUACGAGAGGUCUCCUUUCAAGCAAUUCUGCUUGCUGCAUGCUUAAUCAUUUCUGCCUGUGCAAGGUGGUUUCUGGGAGGAAUCAUAGCCAGUGUCUUCUCCUGUUCCUUGGUGAUAAUCAUUGCUUAUGUUGUCAAGUCAUCCUUUUUCAGCCUUGCCAAAUAUUUCAAAGCCACCACCUGCACUUGGUUUGCCAAAAUCUGACAACCAUUCAUGAGGGCCUCUGAUGAAUGUC